UGGGGAAUAUUGGACAAUGGGCGAAAGCCUGAUCCAGCCAUGCCGCGUGUGUGAAGAAGGUCUUCGGAUUGUAAAGCACUUUAAGUUGGGAGGAAGGGCAGUAAGCGAAUACCUUGCUGUUUUGACGUUACCGACAGAAUAAGCACCGGCUAACUCUGUGCCAGCAGCCGCGGUAAUACAGAGGGUGCAAGCGUUAAUCGGAAUUACUGGGCGUAAAGCGCGCGUAGGUGGUUCGUUAAGUUGAAUGUGAAAGCCCCGGGCUCAACCUGGGAACUGCGUCCAAAACUGGCGAGCUAGAGUAGGGCAGAGGGUGGUGGAAUUUCCUGUGUAGCGGUGAAAUGCGUAGAUAUAGGAAGGAACACCAGUGGCGAAGGCGACCACCUGGGCUCAUACUGACACUGAGGUGCGAAAGCGUGGGGGGCAAACAGG
rnacentral:rRNA from 1 species